rnacentral:rRNA from 1 species
CCCUUAGAUGCUCUGGGCCGCACGCGCGCUACACUGAUGCAUUCAACGAGUUUCUUCCUGGUCCGAGAGGAAUGGGUAACCUUUUGAAAGUGCAUCGUGAUAGGGAUAGACUAUUGCAAUUAUUGGUCUUCAACGAGGAAUUCCUAGUAGACGUAGUUCAUCAGACUGCAUCGAUUACGUCCCUGCCCUUUGUACACACCGCCCGUCGCUACUACCGAUUGAAUGGCUUAGUGAGGCUUCCGGAUUGGUUUAGAGAAGGGGGCAACUCCAUCUUGGAACCGAGAAGCUAGUCAAACUUGGUCAUUUAGAGGAAGUAAAAGUCGUAACA